UACGGAGGGGGCUAGCGUUGUUCGGAAUUACUGGGCGUAAAGCGCGCGUAGGCGGCUUUGUAAGUUAGAGGUGAAAGCCCAGGGCUCAACCCUGGAAUUGCCUUUAAGACUGCAUCGCUUGAACAUCGGAGAGGUAAGUGGAAUUCCGAGUGUAGAGGUGAAAUUCGUAGAUAUUCGGAAGAACACCAGUGGCGAAGGCGGUUCUCUGGGACGGUACUGACGCUGAGACGCGAAAGCGUGGGAGCGAA
rnacentral:rRNA from 1 species